ACAAUGACUGAGGCUGGGCCAGCCUGAAGCUAGGAACUUAGCACGGUAGGUCUUUCUUGCACAUGGCUAGCAGGGCCCCAAGUGCUUGGACCAUCUUCUGCCACUUUCUCAGAUAUUUUGGCAGGAAGCUGGAUCCAAGGUGGAGUAGUCAGAGCUUGAACUGGCUCUCAUUUGAGAUGCUGGCAUCAUGGUUGGUUGCUGUGCCACAGCGUUGGCACCUGUGGUUCUCUUUUGACAGGUGUGUGUGUGUGUGUGUGUGUGUGUGUGUGUGUGUGUGUGUGUGUGUGUGUGGUGUGUGUGUGGUGUGUGUGUGGUGUGUGUGGUUGAACUCCUACAGGUUAAGGAACACAGGUUGUGAUGGAGGACUGGCAUGUGUGGACUUGGCCACCUGGCCCCCAAGUGGCAGCAAGAAUGCUUGCCUGUGUCCUUUAGAAAACCAGGCUUCUCCUUGUGCUGCCUGAAGCAUUCUUCUUCAUCUUAUGACUAGGCCAGCUCUGGCCACCUCCUGUCUCUAGGUAUGUUGUCUGGAGGGUCAAGAGGAGUUAUUUUAAGCUACCAAUGGGAAGUUGGACUUCAUAAUCCUUGGCUGGAAUCAAGCGAGAUAGGAGCUGCCAGACUCUGGGCUGACAGUGCCACCCGUUUCCACGGCAGCAGCAAGGCGAAUGUGCGUUUCCUGCUGCUGGCCGAGUUGCCAGUGCAUUGUCAUGGCGUUUCUCCUCUGAGAGCCCACCGUGCUGAUGGUUGGUCGUGUGGGAGAAGUGUUCUGGGUGUAGAGGAACUUGUUGCCUGAUAUCCCCAGGCUUCGGAGUUGUAUCUGGCUCCCCCACAUUCUAACAUGUGAGCAAGCUGACUCUUUGAAGGCUUGAUCUUCAUUGUGGGGACAAUGAGUACCCCCUUCCCAAGGGGAUCAGGUAGAUUUUCAUGGCAGGUGCUUGGCAUGAAGGAAUAGGAUAUUACUGAUGUUUUAUCGUCUUGUUUUGCUGAGAUGCUGCUUUUUUCAUCCCAACAUUUACUUUUUUUUUUUUUUUUGGAAAGGCAGACUGACAGGAGAGAGAGAGAGAGAGA